CCUACGGGAGGCAGCAGUAGGGAAUCUUCCACAAUGGGCGAAAGCCUGAUGGAGCAACGCCGCGUGAGUGAUGAAGGCCUUCGGGUUGUAAAACUCUGUCAUUCGGGACGAACCGGAGUCUGAGGAAAUGCAGACUCUCUGACGGUACCGGAGGAGGAAGCCCCGGCUAACUACGUGCCAGCAGCCGCGGUAAUACGUAGGGGGCAAGCGUUGUCCGGAUUCACUGGGCGUAAAGCGCGCGCAGGCGGUGAUGUAAGUCUGAGGUGAAAACCCGAAGCUCAACUUCGGGACUGCCUUGGAUACUGCGUCACUUGAGGAUAGGAGAGGCAAGGGGAAUUCCACGUGUAGCGGUGAAAUGCGUAGAGAUGUGGAGGAACACCUGUGGCGAAGGCGCCUUGCUGGCCUAUUUCUGACGCUGAGGCGCGAAAGCGUGGGGAGCAAACAGGAUUAGAUACCCUGGUAGUCCACGCUGUAAACGAUGAGUGCUAGGUGUAGGUGGGCUCAUACCCAUCUGUGCCGAAGCUAACGCAUUAAGCNCNCCGCCGUCGGGGUAGGUACGGUCGGCGAGACGUAGAAACGUACGAAAUAGAAGUUAGUAGGACGGUUGGAGGACGUUGGCCGGACGGGACCGACCGACCGAGGGGUUAGGGUAGGGAG
rnacentral:rRNA from 1 species